rnacentral:siRNA from 1 species
CUGUGUCGCCACAUAUUACGUCA